rnacentral:rRNA from 1 species
CCUACGGGGGAGCAGCAGUAGGGAAUCUUCCGCAAUGGACGAAAGUCUGACGGAGCAACGCCGCGUGAGUGAUGAAGGCUUUCGGGUCGUAAAACUCUGUUGUUAGGGAAGAACAAGUGCUAGUUGAAUAAGCUGGCACCUUGACGGUACCUAACCAGAAAGCCACGGCUAACUACGUGCCAGCAGCCGCGGUAAUACGUAGGUGGCAAGCGUUAUCCGGAAUUAUUGGGCGUAAAGCGCGCGCAGGUGGUUUCUUAAGUCUGAUGUGAAAGCCCACGGCUCAACCGUGGAGGGUCAUUGGAAACUGGGAGACUUGAGUGCAGAAGAGGAAAGUGGAAUUCCAUGUGUAGCGGUGAAAUGCGUAGAGAUAUGGAGGAACACCAGUGGCGAAGGCGACUUUCUGGUCUGUAACUGACACUGAGGCGCGAAAGCGUGGGGAGCAAACAGGAUUAGAUACCCUGGUAGUCCACGCCGUAAACGAUGAGUGCUAAGUGUUAGAGGGUUUCCGCCCUUUAGUGCUGAAGUUAACGCAUUAAGCACUCCGCCUGGGGAGUACGGCCGCAAGGCUGAAACUCAAAGGAAUUGACGGCGGGCGGGGGCG